CAUCGUCAGCGUAUUCAGUAUUAAUGCAAGCUAUGAGGUGAUUAUAUGAUCCUUGUGGUUACCUGUAUUAUACUUGCUUGCAUUAUUUACGGCUGAAUUAUGUCGGCGUGCACUUCUCCUCUAGUAGAACGUUGCGACCCGUUAAAUGUUUAUUUAUGAUCCAAUUGGUAGCCUUUAGAGUAACUUCCUUGGGUGUUUACACUAAAGACCAUUGGUGUUUUCUGAUUAACUGUUUGACGGUAUUCUAUGGUAUUGAGCCGCAAAGUUUUAUUUGCGUUGGACUUGUUGCAAGCAAGAUUAAUUCUAGCAGUGCGGAGUUAGUGCCGUCGCUAGGAUUGUCUAACUGUUAGUGUACAAUGUUCUCUAACUGGCUUAUAUACCGGUCAGCAAUGCUACUGCUUUGGGUACUUACAGGACCCGUCUUGAAACACGGACCAAGGAGUCUAACAUGUACGCAAGUCAUUGGGAUUAUUUUAUUAAAACAAACCUAAAGGCGUAAUGAAAGUAAAGAUUGUCUUUGUGACAAUUGAGAGAAGAUAGGUUACGUUGCGAUGUAAUCUCGCAUUCUCGGGACGC
rnacentral:rRNA from 1 species